UAACUGGGCGUAAAGGGCACGCAGGCGGUGACUUAAGUGAGGUGUGAAAGCCCCGGGCUUAACCUGGGAAUUGCAUUUCAUACUGGGUCGCUAGAGUACUUUAGGGAGGGGUAGAAUUCCACGUGUAGCGGUGAAAUGCGUAGAGAUGUGGAGGAAUACCGAAGGCGAAGGCAGCCCCUUGGGAAUGUACUGACGCUCAUGUGCGAAAGCGUGGGGAGCAAACAGGAUUAGAUACCCUGGUAGUCCACGCUGUAAACGCUGUCGAUUUGGGGAUUGGGCUUUAAGCUUGGUGCCCGUAGCUAACGUGAUAAAUCGACCGCCUGGGGAGUACGGCCGCAAGGUUAAAACUCAAAUGAAUUGACGGGGGCCCGCACAAGCGGUGGAGCAUGUGGUUUAAUUCGAUGCAACGCGAAGAACCUUACCUACUCUUGACAUCCAUGGAAUCUUGUAGAGAUAUGAGAGUGCCUUCGGGAACCAUGAGACAGGUGCUGCAUGGCUGUCGUCAGCUCGUGUCGUGAGAAG
rnacentral:rRNA from 1 species